AGCACAACAGUAACCUCAAAGAAAUUUCUUUUCUUCUCCCUCUCUGUUUUCUCUCGCUAUUUUUCUUUCUUUUAUUCUCAGCAGUCAGCAGGGUAUGUGUGUGUUAGGAGAGGGUUAGGGUUUAGAAAAGGGAUAAAAGAAAAUCUGCUUCGGUUAUUGUGGGAACAUGAAGUCUUUACCAGAGCGGCAACCUCCAAUCACUAAGGCGUUUAGAUAUUUAUCAUUGCCCUAAAUUAGAGUCAUUGGAUGAAGCUGACCGUUGCCUUCCCAACAUACGCACACUAACCAUCUCUCCUAAAGCGGAAAUACGACCGUGAAAGUGGAGAAGAUCGGGCCAAGAUUGCUCACAUCCCAAACAUGUACAUACACUGAGAUUCAUCCCCUCAAAAGGUAAUAACAUUGUUUGCUUUUUUCCGUUUUCAUUACAAAUGCAAUAUAUCUGAGGAGGACGAAGACACAGACGAAGGUGAAGAUGAACGUGGUUCCCAGGAAGCCUCAACCACAAAAGCUUUCCAAACCCUCAUCAUCUUCUUCUAAACCAUCUCCAAAGUUGAAGUCUCAACCUUCGGCUUCUGUCAGUCAAACCAAAUCCGGGUCAAAGCGCGCAGCCGAAAACAGUAUCGACCACUCGAACCAACCAAAACGUGGGAAGAAGGCACAGGAGGAUCACGCCGUCGGCUCCGUUGAAGAGGAUCCGCAGAAAUCACGUGACGAGUUCAAAUCCCUCUUUCAGAGGGUUUUCAGCGAGGAAGAUGAGAUAGGUAUCUUGAAAGGCCUGUCUGAGUUCAUCGCGAAAACAGGGAAGGAACCCAUAUACCAUCAAGCAUCAAGGAGCCGACGGCGUGAUCCUCCUGUGCCUUCUUCCCACGUUUUGGUUGGUUCCAGUGGUCGAUACUGUUUUCGGCUGCGCGCUUUGACCCGAUUUAGUUUGACUGACAGAAGCCGAAGGUUGAGACUUCAACUUUGGAGAGGAUUUAGAAGAAGAUAACGAGGGUUUGGAAACCUUUUGCGGUUGAGGCUUCCUGGGAACUAGCACGUGUUUUCUUCGCCUUCGUCUGUGUCUUUGUCCUCCUCAGAUGAAGUUGCUGCUUCUUCUUCCUCGCUGCUAUCUUCUUGUUCGGGCUGAGGCCUGGGAACCUGCUAUUCGUCGUCAGAGUCUUCAGGAGCGACUUGCUUCUGCUUCGCCAUGGAAACUCCGAAAUUCAGGAGGGAAAAAGUGAAUUUAGGAUUAGGGUUUGUCUUAGUUCACUCUCUGGACAGUGAAAGAGGAUCCGCAGAAAUCACGUGACGAGUUCAAAUCCAGAUAAAUAUUUAGUACAUCUUUAUCAAAGACUUGCGCCACAAAAGAAUGAGUCAGGUUUGUAGCUUCUUUUCCAAAUCUGUGAAUCCAAUUCUUUUCCGUGCUAAGUUAGCUCGUAAGAUUGAGAAUAUUCAAAAGGAGUUUAAUAAUGUCGCUGAAGAGAUGUCUAAGUUGAACCUGAAUCGGAGUUCGGUAAUUCUUAAGCAAGAUGAGUGUGGCUGGAGGGAAACAAGUUCGUCCGUUUUGCAAUCAGAGAUAAUUGGAAGGGAAGAGAAUAAAAGUGACAUUGUUAAGUUGCUAAAGCAAAUCCAUCCGAACCAAAAUGUUUCUUUAAUUGUUGUUGUUGUUGGUAUGGGGGGUUUAGGCAAGACAGCCCUUGCUCAGCUCGUGUACAAUGCUGCUAAAGACCAGAACCUCUUUCAGAAAUAUAUAUGGGUGUGCGUUUCAGAAAAUUUCGAGGUGAAAACUGUUUUGAAGAAGAUCCUGGAGUCUUUGAAGAAGGAUGCUGGUGGUGACUCAUUAGAGGCCCUACAACAGAAGUUGCGGGAAGCAUUGAAUGGGCAAAAUUAUAUGCUUGUGCUCGAUGACGUGUGGAAUGAAGAUCAUUUAAAGUGGAGUGAUUUAAGAUCAGUUGAGUUGUAUUGCUCUUGAAUUACUUGGAUAUGUAUUGCUCUUGAAUUAUUUGUGGAUUCUUACGAAUAGUUGUCCUACUUUUUGAUUAUCGGUUUUUAUUCUGGUUUGCAUUGUAGAUUAUUUCCAGAAGAUGUAUCAGAGAUGGAUUGAGAUAAAUGUUGUUGGUAUUGAACUACUUGUUCUGCUUUUGGUGUGGAACACCUCUGAUGUCAUCACCUCUCUUAAUUUAGUUGGAGCUCCCUUCCAGUCUUUGCAAUAUUUGCCGAGAAAAGAAAAAGUUCUUGGGCAAAUGACAUAUAACUCGCUAUCCAAUAGAGCACCAGUUCUUAGAAGAUUAUUGUGUUUGGAUUCUCAUAUUGCCUCUUCAUUUUCCUUGUUUAUAAUUAAAUUUGCCGUUCAAGCAAGAGCAUUAUCUGGCUUCAUGUGAUAACGAUUACAUUACUAGUUGGAUCCAUAUAUGGUUUUGUGGCAUCUCCCCCUCCUGAUGGCCAUGCCGAAGGGAGCGGGUAGAGUUGCUGGGUAGGUUAUUUCAAGGCACAGUGGAGAUUGCUUUAUUUCUUGCUUCAUGUGAAAGAUUUUCCUACAUUUGAUUUCAGGUUGGUGAUUAUGUAAUAUGGUUGUGGCUAUUAGAGACGCAACAUGGUAAUAGGAGGUUGGGUAUGAAUUUGCAUGUGUGUUCAUUGAGAUAGGCAUAUUGUACGGGAAUUUAUUGUUCAAACUUCCCAUUUUUGUGUAUGUUGUUCUAUGAUCUGUGAUGUGAUAUCAUAAACUUUGAUGUAUCACCUACUGUGUUUCCCUCUUGUUUUGGAAGCACACUUUAUCUAUAUCUAAAACGAGGAUUAUCACAAUUCGAAGCUCUAUUAGUACUACUCUUAUUGUAACAUACACACAUUUUCAUUGAAUGAAUUUAAGAGUUCCUGA